CCUACGGGGGGCAGCAGUGAGGAAUAUUGGUCAAUGGACGAGAGUCUGAACCAGCCAAGUAGCGUGAAGGAUGACUGCCCUAUGGGUUGUAAACUUCUUUUAUAUGGGAAUAAAAUGUUCCACGUGUGGGAUUUUGUAUGUACCAUAUGAAUAAGGAUCGGCUAACUCCGUGCCAGCAUCCGCGGUAAUACGGAGGAUGCGAGCGUUAUCCGGAUUUAUUGGGUUUAAAGGGUGCGUAGGCGGGCAUUUAAGCCGGCGGGAAAAUGUCGGGGCGAAACCCCGGCCUGCCGUCGAAACUGGGUGGAGUGAGGGGGCGAGAAGUAUGCGGAAUGCGUGGUGGAGCGGUGAAAGGCAUAGAUAUCAAGCAGAA
rnacentral:rRNA from 1 species